UACGAAGGGGGGCUAGCGUUGCUCGGAAUCACUGGGCGUAAAGCGCACGUAGGCGGAUUGUUAAGUCAGGGGUGAAAUCCUGGAGCUCAACUCCAGAACUGCCUUUGAUACUGGCAAUCUCGAGUCCGGAAGAGGUGAGUGGAAUUCCUAGUGUAGAGGUGAAAUUCGUAGAUAUUAGGAAGAACACCAGUGGCGAAGGCGGCUCACUGGUCCGGUACUGACGCUGAGGUGCGAAAGCGUGGGGAGCAAACAGG
rnacentral:rRNA from 1 species